rnacentral:lncRNA from 1 species
AUGAAGGAACAUAUGGAGCCAUCGAAUUGGGAACUCCGUACUUCAACACACUAUUAAAGAAAAGGCGAAAUAAGUCUCCCUUCAUUGAGUAAUAAAAUUAAUGACUCGCAAUCAUUUGUCUUAUGAUUAAAUCAGUCGUUGUCUACAGUAAUUGCUCUUUAGCAAGAAGCUCUAUUCAAUCAAGUAGGCUAGUUUGAAGCAUUAAUCAGAGUGCCAUGCUCUAGCUUGUGGUUAGCAUGAACUAGUGGCUGGCAAAUCCUCAUAGCGGUGAGUCUAGAUGUCCC